rnacentral:rRNA from 1 species
AUUGAACGCUGGCGGCAGGCCUAACACAUGCAAGUCGAGCGGAUGAAGGGUGCUUGCUCCUGGAUUCAGCGGCGGACGGGUGAGUAUUGCCUAGGAAUCUGCUUGGUAGUGGUUGAUAAUGUCCGGAAACGGGCGCUAAUACCGCAUACGUCCUGCGGGAGAAAGUGGGGGAGCUUCGGACCUCAUGCUAUCAGAUGAGCCUAGGCCGGAUUAGCUAGUUGGUGGGGUAAAGGCCUACCAAGGCGACGAUCCGUAACUGGUCUGAGAGGAUGAUCAGUCACACUGGAACUGAGACACGGUCCAGACUCCUACGGGAGGCAGCAGUGGGGAAUAUUGGACAAUGGGCGAAAGCCUGAUCCAGCCAUGCCGCGUGUGUGAAGAAGGUCUUCGGAUUGUAAAGCACUUUAAGUUGGGAGGAAGGGCAGUAAGUUAAUACCUUGCUGUUUUGACGGUACCAACAGAAUAAGCACCGGCUAACUUCGUG